rnacentral:rRNA from 1 species
UACGUAGGCAGCAAGCGUUGUUCGGAGUUACUGGGCGUAAAGGGUGCGUAGGCGGUCGUUUAAGUUUGGUGUGAAAUCUCCCGGCUCAACUGGGAGGGUGCGCCGAAUACUGAAUGACUAGAGUGCGGGAGAGGAGAGUGGAAUUCCUGGUGUAGCGGUGAAAUGCGUAGAUAUCAGGAGGAACACCCAUAGCGAAGGCAGCUUGCUGGGACGUUACUGACGCUAAGGCGCGAAAGCGUGGGGAGCGAACAGG